rnacentral:lncRNA from 1 species
AUGCACCUGGGAGUAGCAGGCAGGCGCGGCCCCCACGCGCCACUCAGCCACAGAACAGUCACCUGGAUCCCAGAUGCAUCUGAAACCCUGCCCACCCGUGCCCACGGUCGCUGGGGCCCACAUGCAGUGGAGGGGUUGUGCCCUCCCCGGGGAGACGAGCCUGGGGCAUGGGGGUCCCCAGGCCCCGACAUCCUCUUCCUGCACGAGUCCUGCCUGCCGCCAAGGCACCACCCACUCCCAGAAACCCGGGUGUCACCCCGGCCCCUCGUAUGGCUCAGCCACAGCCCUCCUGGUCACGCGGGCUGUAUGGCCAAAGGGGACAACAUGCGGCUGUGCUGCAGGAGUGCAGGGCACGACCCUGGCGCCACCACGGGCAACGCAGGGGGGAGGAGGAACCAAGGCACGGGGACCCCACCUCCGAGAGGAGGCAGGCGUCCUGCAAGGCCUCGGCACGCGCCAGCCCCUACCCCAGCCUCAGCGUCUCAAAGACAUUUCUGUUCCAGUCCUAGACUUGAUCCUGAUACUAGAAAAAAAAAAAAAAAAGAUACCUGUGCUUUGAAGUCGGCACCGUGGCCACGCCCUCAGCGGCUCUUCCCCAACAAGGCCCUGUGUCGUCCGCCUGGUCCCUGCGCUCACCACACCCUCCAGGGAGGCUGCCUCCCUCCAGGGCACUGGCCACUGCCGCCCUCCUCCUGCUGGUUGGGGGGCCUGGUGGGGCCCAGCAGCUGGGCGCCAAGGAGCCAGCCCUGUGUCCUGGGGACCCGCACACUGGGCUCCACUGGGUGGCCACAGAGAGGAGCUGCCCGGCCUGGGGCGCCUGAGGGAGGACUCAGGGCGCCCCAGCAUCUGCUCCAGGGCCUUUGCCAACAGAGGAGGACGCCCUGCUGGUGGGUGGGCUUCUGGAAGACCCUGGAACUGCACACCCUGGAGAGGUGCAGGCGGUGGGGCGGGGGCUGGCAGUGGGGGGCAGGGGUACCCCCAGUCUGCUCUCGUGGAGCCACAGGGGCCCCACUUCUUGCUGUCUCCCCAUGUCUCUCCCAGCUGUGGGUUCCCAGAUGUAGACCUCUGGUUGGGGGAUGGGAUGCUAGGGUCAGGGCCCCCAGACCCUGGGCCCUGCCUGGCUGUGGCUGCGGCCUUUAUCUGGGGGUCCGAGGGCUGCCCCACCCGUACCACGCCAGUGCCGUCACUUGCUAG